rnacentral:rRNA from 1 species
CUAAUUGUACGCUGGCGGCAGUGCCUAACACAUCGCGAGUCGAGCGGCAGCGGGGAAGUAGCUUGCUACUUUUGCCGGCGAGCGGCGGACGGGUGAGUAAUGCCUGGGAAAUUGCCCAGUCGAGGGGGAUAACAGUUGGAAACGACUGCUAAUACCGCAGCGCCCUACGGGGGAAAGCAGGGGACCUUCGGGCCUUGCGCGAUUGGAUAUGCCCAGGUGGGAUUAGCUAGUUGGUGAGGUAAUGGCUCACCAAGGCGACGAUCCCUAGCUGGUCUGAGAGGAUGAUCAGCCACACUGGAACUGAGACACGGUCCACACUAACACGGGGGGCUUUAGUGGGGAAUAUUGCACAAUGGGGGAAACCCUGAUGCAGCCAUGCCGCGUGUGUGAAGAAGGCCUUCGGGUUGUAAAGCACUUUCAGCGAGGAGGAAAGGUCAGUAGCUAAUAUCUGCUGGCUGUGACGUUACUCGCAGAAGAAGCACCGGCUAACUCCGUGCCAGCAGCCGCGGUAAUACGGAGGGUGCAAGCGUUAAUCGGAAUUACUGGGCGUAAAGCGCACGCAGCUGUUGGAUAAGUUAGAUGUGAAAGCCCCGGGCUCAACCUGGGAAUUGCAUUUAAAACUGUCCAGCUAGAGUCUUGUAGAGGGGGGUAGAAUUUCCAGGUGUAGCGGUGAGAAUGCGUAGAGAUCUGGAGGCAUACCGGUGGCCGAAGCCGGCCCCCUGGAACAAGACUGACUGCUCAGGUGGCGACAGCCUUGGCGCACCAAACAUGCAUUCACGAUACUCCUGGUAGUUCCUACGCCCGUAAACGAUGUCAAUUUGGCAAGGCCUGUGUUCCAUGAAUACGUGCAUACCGGAAGCUAACGCCGGUUUAAUCGGACCGCCUGGGGGGGAGUACUGGCACCGCUAAGGUUCAAACCUCCACACUCGCAUUGACCGGUGUAACACGGCAGAUAGUCUUUCGGAACAGUCGCUUCAUCCGAUUGCCACGGCGGAAGACG